rnacentral:rRNA from 1 species
CCUACGGGUGGCAGCAGUGGGGAAUAUUGCACAAUGGGGGAAACCCUGAUGCAGCGACGCCGCGUGAGUGAAGAAGUAUUUCGGUACGUAAAGCUCUAUCAGCAGGGAAGAAAAUGACGGUACCUGACUAAGAAGCCCCGGCCAACUACGUGCCAGCAGCCGCGGUAAUACGUAGGGGGCAAGCGUUAUCCGGAUUUACUGGGUGUAAAGGGAGCGUAGACGGCAGCGCAAGUCUGGAGUGAAAUCCCAUGGCUUAACCAUGGAACUGCUUUGGAAACUGUGCAGCUAGAGUGCAGGAGAGGUAAGCGGAAUUCCUAGUGUAGCGGUGAAAUGCGUAGAUAUUAGGAGGAACACCAGUGGCGAAGGCGGCUUACUGGACUGCAACUGACGUUGAGGCUCGAAAGCGUGGGGAGCAAACAGGAUUAGAUACCCGGGUAGUC